CUUCCAUCCGACUGGUCAGAGCCCUGGAAGCAAACCUACUGCUCUCUCCACCCCCUCCAUCACUGUCUGUCAUCACAACUCCAGGCAAUAACAUCCUAUUAACAGGGUUGGUCCCCUACCAUCACCUAGGUAAAGACUGACCUUAGGGCAGUUGCAGGGUCCACAUCACCAGCUCUCUUCUCCUGGAGAACUAAACGAGCUAUCUAGGAGACCAGCAGGAGCCAGAGUUACUUAUUUGUCUCAUACAUCAGCACAAAGACCCUUUCUAACUGUCUUUGACUCUUCUGUUAGUUCUACAUGAAUCUUUGUAUGAAGUUAUGGGUUCUGCAGCUCUAUAAAUUGUCCUGGCAAGAAAUCAAUAAAGCCUAAUAAAUUAGGUUUCCACAACGGAUUUCAGUAGAGGCCCCAAAUCAGCCAGGUACUUAGAUGGGCUUACCUUUAAGCAUCUGAUCAGUCUUACUUCUAGUCAGCUCUCUGCUGUCUUAGCUCCGGGCAUCCAAGCAGUUCAGAUAAGUAGCAGCACAAAUGGAUUUACAUGUAAAUUCAUCCCAUGAUGAUACUGUCUAGCAGAAAAGAACAUGGCUUUCCAGGGCUUGCCUGCCUCAGUUCAAGGGGUAGCAAGUUCCUCUGUGAAGCUGGCUCACGUGUUCAAUGUUUGCAGGGCUGAGACCAGAGGAAAGAAAGAGAAAUCAGCAAUCAUUGUUAGAUCCUUGCCUUUUGGGACAAUGGCCAUUGCUGCAUUAUGCACAUGUACUAUGCCAAGGAGAAUGGUGCCGAGGCUGUGUGCUGCUGUUUGUUGAAGGAAGAUUAAAUACAACUGCACUGCAUGAAGGAGAAGACACCUGGGGAGAACUAAGAGCUUUGGGAGGCCCAGAACAAAUAUUGGACACAGGUCAACAAAUCUGUAGCUGAAUCAGGCAAACAGCCAAAAUGCUACACAUGAAUUGCGGGCAGUGCUUCACAUCAAGUUGGAGGAGAUCGGUGUGACCGAGCUGUUUCUGAAAUGUUUCUCUUUUUCAAUGUAGGAAGGAGAGCUAGAUUUCUUGCUCUCAUGUCAUAUGCUGGGAAUGGCUAAACUGAAGGAAGACAGGAAAAAAAGCGAGCCCAGAUGAAAAUAUUGAACAAAAUACAUAAAAAAAAUAUUGAACCAGGAUAGUCCUUGUAUAUGCUGAAUAUGUCAUUCGAUAUACAAAGGCAUCUAUAAAGGAAGCUGCAUCAUGAUUUUGCUAACGAUAUGCACUGGCAGUGGAGGAACUGGGACACUGUCAGCAUCCAGGCUACUUUGCUUAUCAGCGGUUGCUAGAAUUAAACCCCAGUGCACGGAAUCAAGCCUCACCACCGUGUAAAGUUCCUGCACAAGACCCUCAGAGUCCCUCUUCAUCCUUCAGCACAGAGCUGAGGUGUGUAAAAGGUGUGCUGACUUACUCACAAAGUCAUCUUUCAUCUUUUCUUGUCUAUGGCCCUGCGAAUGGAAUCAAAUGGACAUGGCCAGGCUUUUCUUCCCAAAACUCUUUGCCUUAUUCUUCGUUUCACCUUUAAAUUACUAGAUGCUGUGUUUCACAGAACAGCUCCAAAGAAAGACACGAGGCAACUGCUUCAUUUAACACUGCUUGACAAAGCGAUCUCGCAUGACCUCCCAGCAGCAACCUGCUCACUCAUUUUAAGUACAGUGUAAUUGCUGAAUGUCUGACUCACCUCACUGUCUUUCAAGUGCACUUCUGUGCCUACAUUUUUAGGCAUGACUUUAAAAUAUGGUGCUAAACAUUAUCUGCUCAUUUUUCUAUAUUGCGGUGCUGUUCUCGAAAGGAUGUCCGUCAAUCAAAUGGAUGCUUAACCUUUUCUUCUGAGAGGAGAAAAUAAUGUGGGAUAAUAUUCAUUGGUCUAUGAGAAAUGGGAACCUGAAAGCUUCACG
ensembl:lncRNA